rnacentral:rRNA from 1 species
UCCUUAGAUGUUCUGGGCUGCACGCGCGCUACACUGAUGCGCUCAACGAGUUUACGACCUUGCCCGGAAGGGUUGGGUAAUCUUUUUAAAACGCAUCGUGAUGGGGAUAGAUUAUUGCAAUUAUUAAUCUUUAACGAGGAAUUCCUAGUAAGCGCGAGUCAUCAACUUGCGUUGAUUACGUCCCUGCCCUUUGUACACACCGCCCGUCGCUACUGCCAACUGAGAUGGGUCCUGAAUUGUUAGGAACGCCCGUCAAGGGGCCUACCCGGUCCCUAGUGCGGUGACGAGAAUAACUGUAAAUGGCAUAUCUUGUAGGGAGUAAAAGUCGUAACA